rnacentral:rRNA from 1 species
AGAUUGAACGCUGGCGGCAUGCCUAACACAUGCAAGUCGAACGGGAGUAGCAAUACUCUAGUGGCGGACGGGUGAGGAAUACGUAGGAAUUUGCCCUUAAGUGGGGGAUAACCCGGGGAAACCCGGAUUAAUACCGCAUGACCUCGAAAGAGCAAAGUGGGGGAUCGCAAGACCUCACGCUUUUGGAGAAGCCUACGUCGGAUUAGCUAGUUGGUGAGGUAAUGGCUCACCGAAGGCGACGAUCCGUAACUGGUCUGAGAGGAUGAUCAGUCACACCGGACUG